rnacentral:rRNA from 1 species
CCUAAUGAGACUGCCGGUGACAAACCGGAGGAAGGUGGGGAUGACGUCAAGUCCUCAUGGCCCUUAUGGGUAGGGCUUCACACGUCAUACAAUGGUCGGUACGAGAAGGGUUGCCAACCCGCGAGGGGGAGCUAAUCCCAUAAAGCCAGUCGUAGUCCGGAUCGCAGUCUGCAACUCGACUGCGUGAAGUCGGAAUCGCUAGUAAUCGUGGAUCAGCAUGUCACGGUGAAUACGUUCCCGGGUCUU